UGUGCCUAAUACAUGCAAGAUCGUACGCACUGGCCCAACUGAUUGAUGGUGCUUGCACCUGAUUGACGAUGGAUCACCAGUGAGUGGCGGACGGGCUGAGUAACACGCUAGGUAACCUGCCCCGGCAGCGGGGGAUAACAUUUGGAAACAGAUGCUAAUACCGCAUAACAACAAAAGCCACAUGGCUUUUGUUUGAAAGAUGGCUUUGGCUAUCACUCUGGGAUGGACCUGCGGUGCAUUAGCUAGUUGGUAAGGUAACGGCUUACCAAGGCGAUGAUGCAUAGCCGAGUUGAGAGACUGAUCGGCCACAAUGGAACUGAGACACGGUCCAUACUCCUACGGGAGGCAGCAGUAGGGAAUCUUCCACAAUGGGCGCAAGCCUGAUGGAGCAACACCGCGUGAGUGAAGAAGGGUUUCGGCUCGUAAAGCUCUGUUGUUGGAGAAGAACGUGCGUGAGAGUAACUGUUCACGCAGUGACGGUAUCCAACCAGAAAGUCACGGCUAACUACGUGCCAGCAGCCGCGGUAAUACGUAGGUGGCAAGCGUUAUCCGGAUUUAUUGGGCGUAAAGCGAGCGCANGCGGUUGCUUAGGUCUGAUGUGAAAGCCUUCGGCUUAACCGAAGAAGUGCAUCGGAAACCGGGCGACUUGAGUGCAGAAGAGGACAGUGGAACUCCAUGUGUAGCGGUGGAAUGCGUAGAUAUAUGGAAGAACACCAGUGGCGAAGGCGGCUGUCUGGUCUGCAACUGACGCUGAGGCU
rnacentral:rRNA from 2 species